UUUCCGUAGGUGAACCUGCGGAAGGAUCAUUAAAAAUGAAGCCGGGAAACCGGUCCUUCUAACCCUUGAUUAUCUUAAUUUGUUGCUUUGGUGGGCCGCGCAAGCACCGGCUUCGGCUGGAUCGUGCCCGCCAGAGGACACAACUCUGUAUCAAAUGUCGUCUGAGUACUAUAAAAUAGUUGAAACUUUCAACAACGGAUCUCUUGGUUCUG
rnacentral:misc_RNA from 1 species